UCCCUCGUGGACUAGUGGCUAGCAUGCAGCACUUUCACUGCCGCAGCCUGGGUUUGUUUCCCUGUCAGGGAA